UAGGAUAGAGCAACUUGGUAGCUCGCAAGGCUUAUAACCUUGAGGUCGUGGGUUCAAAUCCCAUCUCUAAAA